rnacentral:rRNA from 1 species
UACGUAGGGUGCGAGCGUUAAUCGGAAUUACUGGGCGUAAAGCGUGCGCAGGCGGCCGCGCAAGUCGAGUGUGAAAGCCCCGAGCUUAACUUGGGAAUUGCGCUCGAAACUACGUGGCUGGAGUGUGGCAGAGGAAGGUGGAAUUCCACGUGUAGCGGUGAAAUGCGUAGAGAUGUGGAGGAACACCGAUGGCGAAGGCAGCCUCCUGGGCCAACACUGACGCUCAUGCACGAAAGCGUGGGGAGCAAACAGG